rnacentral:tRNA from 1 species
GCGGGCGUGGCGGAAUGGUAGACGCAUGGGACUUAAAAUCCCUCGGGCUUCGGCCCAUGCCGGUUCGAGUCCGGCCGCCCGUA